AAGUAAAAAAUUAAUAACUGUGUGGAGUAGAGAAUUAUUAAUCUUGAAAAACUAAAUUGCUUGGCGGCUUAUUAACUAAAUAGAGAAGCAUGCUUUUUAAUGGAUGUUACACAGAAAUCUUACCUAGUAUUGUUAAUACAUUUGGUACACCGCCGUCGGAAGAAUAGUCUUAUAGGAAUUAAUUCUAAUAUCUUAUAUAAAGAGUUAAGUCAGGCCAAGGCACCGAUUAUUAUUAGGUUAAAGUGUGUUUCAUUAUUAUAAUUAUGUCUGGAAAUUUCAUUAAUGAAUUUUGAAAUUUUAAUUAAAGUAAAUGAAUCUAUAAGUAA
rnacentral:rRNA from 1 species